CUAAUCACAAUCUGCCUUCUGUCUGCGCCAAGAAACCCUGAAAACUGUGAGGUUCCCAAAGAGGCCAGAUUUAAAACAGAACCAGUGGAGGGAUGAAGAUGAUCUCCAGGAUCCUGCUGCUCCUCAUCCUCAGCUCAUGUCUCUGUGCAGCAACAUUUGUAGUGAAUGUGACACAGAGCAGCUAUCAGGCAGAGGAGAACCACAGCAUCACUCUGGAGUGGACCUUCACCACCAAGACUCGGGGAUCCUGGAGGGAACU